UCUCGCGAGCAGCGGAUUACUUGUAACAGACAGUAAAUCAGCCUCUUUUCCGUAGUGUCUUCUGCAGGAUGGAUAUAAAAGUAUAAAACACGUUUUGCUUUGACAACAUCGUUCAUAUGUGAACUAUAACAAUUAAAGCACAAAGACAUAACAACAUUACACUCCGAGACCUUUCACAAGUGCUACAAAAGAGAAGAAACGCUUUCCGGAAGAGAAGUUCAUCAGGCGAGGUGGAGCGUUGACUUUGUCCAGUCAUCAAGUUUAGCGGAGAGCAUCAACCCCUAAUUGACAUGAGGAAAAAAUCAAUGAAAAGUGUUCAGCGUUUGCAACAGAGGAAGCAUUAGGAAAGAGGAGAAGAGAGAAAGUGAAAAGGCACUCAACAGAUGUUGGUGAGACUUUAUUUCUGGAAAUGCUUUAAAGGUCACUCACAUUCUAGUUAGCCACAAAUGUAAACCUGAUUUUAGUCUUUAAAUGUGAUUAAUAACUCCAGCUACUUGUAGGCCUACAGUCCUGUAUAUUUCACACUAAAUUGUGAUGCAGCCUAAAUCAUAAUCACACCAUGUUCAGUUGUUGGCCAGAGGAGAACUGAUCCCUAAACAUACUUUCUCCCAAUGUUUUUUUUUCUCCAUUCUGUCACCUGACAGAGUUUGGGUUCCUUGCCACUGUCGACUUUUGGCGUGCUUAUUUGGGGACUAAUAAUAUUCAGCAGUAUUAUUGAUCUGACUCCUCUGGCACUAUUGGAUGAGGACUGAACUGAGCUAGAUGAUGAUACCACUGCUAUCUAGAUGCAUUGAAAUUAUUUUAUAUUUGAUGAUUUUUAUACACUGAUUUCAACUGAACAAUGACACGUUUUACUGUUUAGAGCUGCUUCACAGCAGAUGUGAAUUCUGUUUGCAUCAUUAUAUAUAAAUAAUGGUUACUUGACUUAAAUUGGUUCAAAUCUUCAAAAAAAGUGCAUGAAACAGGCAACCUGAAUAAACACAAAAUACAGUUUAUUAAUGAUAACUGUAUUUGCCUUUGUUUUAUGUUAAUAUUCUUAGGAAUAUCUGACAAUAUUUAGUACUGGAUAUAUUCAAAAAUAGGAUAAAUCAGGAUUUUUUCCCCCCCACAGCACUGUACACCAGCAUUUAUGUUCAGUAGUGUGACAUUAAUGUGUGGAAAUGGACAUUUUAUCAGUGUGAUUUUCAGGAAAAUGCACUAGUAACAACUAAAAAAAGACGACCAAAAAUAUAAUUCAACAGAAGAUGAUGGCUGUGGUGAAACAAGCACUCAAAUAAUGAAACUAAGACCAGUGUGAGUGCUGGAGAAAUCAAGUCCUCUGUCGUCUCAGCCAUGGAAGAGAUCUUCAGACAUGAAGAGAUUGAGGAGUUAAAUGAAGUCAAAGAGCUAAAAGAAGAUUUACAAUAGUGCCAUUUCAGUAUGAAAACAGAGAGAGCUGAGGGAAUGGAAAGACUACAUCAAAAAUAGUGUUUCCACAUCUGAGAUAAAGGCAGUCAUAAGAACCAAGCAGAACAAUGAGGAUAAGCUCUUCAAAAGAUGAAACCUGCCUGAAUAAUGCGGGAAGAAGUUUGAAGAAAAGAAUUUUUUUCUGGCUUUCCUGCCUCUUUGGAACAUUUCCGUUCACAGAGACUGUGGAGAGAUGGUGUGCAGCUUCAUGACAUUUGAAGUUUACUGCCGAUGGAGAGCUUCUGGGACACUGACAAACACUACUUUCCAGCAAGUUCAUUUGUAGUUCUUUUUUUUAUUAUUAUUAUUUAUUAAUUUAUUUAUUUAGUCAAACUUGCAUUCACUAAUGCUGGAGUAAGAUUUUAGAAGAAACCUUUCGGUCCUGUUUAAUGUUGGUGCUAGUAAAGGUUUGAGAAUUUAUGGCCUGGUUUCACAGACAGGACUUAGACUAAGCCAAGAUUAGGCCAUCGUUCAAUUAGGACACUUAAGUCAUUUUCAUUAACAUGCCUUAGAAAAAACAUUACUGGUGUGCAUCUUGAGACAAAACUAAGGUACUGAUAUUUUAAAAGAUCAGUCAGUGCAAGUUUCUUUCAGUUGAAACAGCUCAGAAUUACAUUCAAUUAAAUUCAUGAGCUUUAUUGGCAUGACUUGCACAGUAUUGCCAAAGCAUAAUUAUAGAAUUACAAUUUAGUCUGGUCCACUUUUUUUGGAAAUAGGCUCAUUCUCCAACUCCCCCAGAGUUAAUAAGUUGAGUUUUACCGUUUUUGAAUCCAUUCAGCCGAUCUCCGGAUCUGGCGAUAGCACUUUUAGCAUAGCUUAGCAUAGAUCAUUGAAUCCGAUUA